GAUGAACGCUGGCGGCGUGCCUAAUACAUGCAAGUCGAGCGAACAGACGAGGAGCUUGCUCCUCUGACGUUAGCGGCGGACGGGUGAGUAACACGUGGAUAACCUACCUAUAAUACUGGGAUAACUUCGGGAAACCGGAGCUAAUACCGGAUAAUAUAUUGAACCGCAUGGUUCAAUAGUGAAAGACGGUUUUGCUGUCACUUAUAGAUGGAUCCGCGCCGCAUUAGCUAGUUGGUAAGGUAACGGCUUACCAAGGCAACGAUGCGUAGCCGACCUGAGAGGGUGAUCGGCAACACUGGAACUGAGACACGGUCCAGACUCCUACGGGAGGCAGCAGUAGGGAAUCUUCCGCAAUGGGCGAAAGCCUGACGGAGCAACGCCGCGUGAGUGAUGAAGGUCUUCGGAUCGUAAAACUCUGUUAUUAGGGAAGAACAAAUGUGUAAGUAACUAUGCACGUCUUGACGGUACCUAAUCAGAAAGCCACGGCUAACUACGUG
rnacentral:rRNA from 1 species